CUUGUACUCCCUCCAUCCAAAAAUACUUGCCAUUGAAAUGGAUGUAUCUAGAUGUAUUUUAGUUCUAGACACAUCCAUUUUGAUGACAAGUAAUUCUGGACGGAGGGAGUACUUG
rnacentral:pre_miRNA from 1 species